AUGCAGGUUACCCGCGACAAGACGGAAAGACCCCAUGGAGCUUUACUGCAGCUUGAUAUUGAAUUUGGGUACGAUCUGUACAGGAUAGGUGGGAGCCGUAGAACUUUGAGCGCCAGCUUGAAGGGAGGCAUCCUUGGGAUACCACCCUGAUCGUAUCUAGGUUCUAACUUGGUACCGUAAUCCGGUACGAGGACAGUGUCAGGUGGGCAGUUUGACUGGGGCGGUCGCCUCCUAAAGAGUAACGGAGGCGCCCCAAGGUUCCCUCAGAAUGGUUGGAA
rnacentral:rRNA from 1 species